AAGAGGUGGUUUGAAACCUCAUCUCCCGAGUCCUAGUCCAGUGCUCAAACCUCUCAAUUAUACUGGCUCCCUGCUGAAGCUUAAAUUAUUACAGAAAAUAACACUUUAUUAAAUCAUAUGGUGCUCAAAAAGUAACAGAAAAAAUGAUUCCACAAGGUAUAUGUAAAACCUCAGUUGCAUGUAAAUAGCUCUCUGGAUAGCAAUUUGUGCCGAAUGAUUGUGGAUAUGGAUGUAUAUUCAAUGCAGGGCAGGGGAGGGGGGAAAUGGAAAAAGGAUGGAUAUAAGAGUGAGAAGAGUUUGAUAUUAAUAAGGUGUAGACAAUAGGCGACACUGGAAGUGGGAGAGUAUAUAUGGAACAUGUGUGUGUGUGUGUGUGUGUGUGUGUGUGUGUGUGUGUGUAUGCCACUUUUGCCGUUUUCUAAAAAAUUUUGUGAGGAAAUGUAGAUAUGUUAUAUUCCACUUGUAUGAUCCAAAUACAUUUUUGUUUCAAAAGAUGUAUAUUCACUGCUGAAGUUUACUUUCAGCUCUUUUAAUGAACAGGAGGGCAAGAAACAUGUCUUUUUAUAAUGUAAUUAGCUUUCCCCCAUCCAUGCUAUUCGCAUGUACAGCAUCAAUUUACAACAUUUUCUAGCAAGACCAUAUGGCAACAAAAAGUGUUUAGAAUUUAGUAAUGAAAUAUUGCGCAAAAAUUGCACUAUGAAACAUAAAAACAAUCUGUAUUUCAUUGACAGGUAAGGCUCCAAGAAUACUUGGAAAUUCUUCCUUCACACAACUACACUUGUCAGGCAACAGACCUUUUAGUGCUGUUUCUCAAAUUGUGCUCUGCAGAGCAUAUGGUGCUCUGCAAAACAGUUCUAAGUGCUCUGCAAAAAGUGGCCAAAUUCUUAGGUCAUGCUACAGCUCUUACACCAUCUCACCAUGACUACCACUACCAGCACCAACACCAUCAUCAUCAUCAUCAUCAUCAUCAUUAUCAUCAUCAUCAUCAUCAUCACCAUUUUGACAUGCUGGGAGUAAUUGGUGAGAGCUAUCAUUGGAAUUAUCCAGCUUCUGUUUGAAAGCCUUCAGAAAGGACUCCACCACGCUCUGAGGCAGCAUAUUCCACUGUCAAACUGCUCUUUGGAAGCUUUUCCUAAUGUUUAUGAGAGACAGUAUUGAGUACUGAACUCAGACUAUUGAGAACAGGAUUUGAAUCUCCACUCAGACCUGGAAAUCCAUUUGGUGACCUUUGGCAAGUCACACUCUCUGACCUAGAGGCAAACAUCUGAACAAAUCUCAUGAAGAGUGUUCUGUGAUGUCAAGGAAUGUAGAAUAAAAUGGGCCGAAAAUGUUGGCCGUUCAAUCAGCUUAGAUGAGUGGGAACACCUCUGGAAAGUAAAAAAUAAAAUAUUCAGAAACUAUUCACUUCUGGAAAAUUUCUAUAAAAUGUUUUAUCAAUCCUAAAUGACACCUGUCAAAAUAGCCAAAAUGCAGCCACAAUUAAAAAUACUUGUUGGAAAUGCAAAUAAGCAAUGGGAUCAUUUUUCCAUAUAUGGUGGUCCUGCAAGAAAACAAAAAACUUUUGGAUUGAGAUCCAUUAAACCAUUGAAAAAAUGCUAAAGCUUAAAAUACCCAUGAACCCAGAGACAUUCCUACUAAGAAUAACAGACAGAUCACUUUUGAAGACACCUGACAAACUCUUCACCCAGAUGACAACUGCUGUGAGAAUCGUUUAUGCAUAGACUUGGAAAUUGGAGGAAACACCGGAAGUGGAGGAAUGGAUUGUGAAAGUGGCAGAUGUGGCUGAGAUGGACAUUCUGACAGGAUACCUUCAGUCAAAAGAUCCUUCAGAGUUCGGGAAGGACUGGGAAUGCUUUUAAAUGGAAAGUUUGACUAUUAUAAAAUCUAAAUUUCCAACAUAUUGUUCAAUUUCCCCUUGAAAAAAAGACUUGAUGAAGAAUUCCUUGGGAUUAUUUGGUGUGCCUUUCUUUUCAAUAGUAUAUGUAUUUCUGUGUUUCUCAGGGAAAGUAGAAAAUAAUGUUUUAAAAUUAGGAUGAAUAUUAAGAAAUAAUGUCUGAGACUUUAUGUAUGAGAAUAAUAAUAAUAAUAAAACUUUAUUUAUACCCCA